rnacentral:rRNA from 1 species
GAUGAAUGCUGGCGGCGUGCCUAACACAUGCAAGUCGAGCGGCAGCGAGGGGUGCUUGCACCCUGUCGGCGAGCGGCGAACGGCUGAGUAACGCGUAGGAAUUUGCCCCAAAGUUAGGAAUAACUGCCCGAAAGGGUAGCUAAUGCCGCAUAUGGUCUUCGGAUUAAAGGAUUUAUCCGCUUUGGGAGAAGCCUGCGUUGGAUUAGGUUGUUGGUAGGGUAAUGGCCUACCAAGCCGACGAUCCAUAGCUGGUCUGAGAGGAUGAUCAGCCAGACUGGAACUGAGACACGGUCCAGACUCCUACGGGAGGCAGCAGUGAGGAAUCUUCCACAAUGGGCGAAAGCCUGAUGGAGCAACGCCGCGUGAAGGAUGAAGGCCUUCGGGUUGUAAACUUCUUUUAUGAGUGAAGAAUAUGACGGUAACUCAUGAAUAAGCACCGGCUAACUACGUG